rnacentral:misc_RNA from 1 species
UCACUAAUUAGCCAAGUUCAAGUAUACCUGAUAAAUUUUGAAACUCGAUUUUCUCGAAAACUUAAUCUGAGAAUGAAAAAAUUGUAUUCUAUAUCAUUUUCUUAUUUUUCCAGAAACAGUCAUGUCAUGCUCGUUUUUACACGUUAUUCGGUCGGAUCUUGUACAUUUUCGAAAAUAUUAAAUUAAACUAUUAAUUAAUAUAAACAUUAAAUGUUAUCUAAGAAGUAUUACCUUAACUUCUUCUCGCGUUUGUUCGAUAAAACUUCGUUGAACCGUUAAUUCCUUGUUAUCUAUCUUAAACUUUGUCGGAUUUUUUUCUACAAUACAUCGUGUCUUCUAGAUCAUCGAGAUCCCAUUCUAUUGAGCGUAAAGCUUUUCGUAAUUCGGUAGUAGUCCACUCUAAUUCGUCACGUGAGAUUGGGAUUCCCCCACUCACGGUAGAGCUCGUGACAAUAACAUCUUGCAAUUCCGUCCAGCGCCCGUAUAAACCGCGGUUUUUAUUUAAGGCCUUGCAAACUUCGCUACAAAACAAAUAAGUGAUAUUAUUUAUAUUAUAAAUUAAAAAAUUAUAAUACAUUAAUUACAUUACAUUAAUUAAAUAUUAUAUCAGUAAUAUAAAUAAAUUAUACAUUAAAAUAUAAGAAUAUAUAAUAUAGAAUAAUAUAAUACAUGUAAAUAAACAACACAAACAACAAUUAUUGUUUGUAAGGAAUAAAAUGAAUAAAAUUAUUUCAUAUUUAAGAAGGGAACGAUAAAUUUUUGCACUGCAACGUCGUUAGUAAUUAAUGGUUGAUCACAAAUAUGUUAUAUAAAUAUAAGCACUUUGACUUAACAAGUGUUAUGUAAUCGUAACAAGUACUUCAAAUAUCAGGAAAUUUGUUUUUGAUACUUAACAAACUAGUAAAAUUAUGUACAUGUGAAAAUCUAAUUAGUUGUAAUAAAUAUACAUCAACGUUUCUUUCUAGUAAUUCAUAUUUAGUAAUAAA